rnacentral:rRNA from 1 species
GACAGAGGCCUCGAGCGUUAGGCGGAAUCACUGGGCUUAAAGCGUGUGUAGGCGGGCCCGUAAGUGUCUUGUGAAAUCCCCCGGCUCAACCGGGGAACGGCUGGGCAUACUGCGGGUCUUGGGCCGACUAGGGGCAGCCGGAACAAGCGGUGGAGCGGUGAAAUGCGUAGAUAUCGUAAGGAAGACCAGUGGCGAAGGCGGGUCUCUGGACAGUUCCUGACGCUGAGGCACGAAGGUCAGGGGAGCAAACGGG